CCUACGGGAUGCUGCAGUAGGGAAUAUUGGACAAUGGAGGAAACUCUGAUCCAGCCAUCCCGCGUGAAGGAUUAAGGUCCUAUGGAUUGUAAACUUCUUUUCUUUGGGAAUAAAAUCUCCGAUUCCUCGGAGCUUGAAGGUACCAGGGGAAUAAGCACCGGCUAACUCCGUGCCAGCAGCCGCGGUAAUACGGAGGGUGCAGGCGUUAUCGGGAUUCAAUGGGUUGAAAGGGGUUUUAGAUGUCUGUGUUGAAAGCCUACAGCUUAACUGUAGAAUUGCCAUUGAUACUGCUUAACUUGAAUCAAGUCGAAGUGGAUGGAAUAGAUCAUGUAGCGGUGAAAUGCUUAGAUAUGAUUUAGAACACCAAUUGCGAAGGCAGUUCACUAGGCUUGUAUUGACACUGAGGCACGAAAGCGUGGGGAUCAAACAGGAUUAGAUACCCGAGUAGUC
rnacentral:rRNA from 1 species